GCUGACCAAGGCGGACAAGUGCGUUGACAGAGGUGACUCUGCUACUUCUCAGCUGGCUGGCCAGUUGGGGGUUAAUGUUUUUCAGAAUCAUUUUUAGGAUUUCUUCUUCCUCAAUUUGUGGUUUCCAGCGUUUGCACAGUGACUGGUACAUGUAGGCAAAAUCUCGGAUGCUUUCACCAUCCCCUUGAACUCUGUUGCGCACCCUCUCUGCCAGUUCAUCCUCAUAGUCCUCUGACAGGAAGGCAGCACGGAACUGGUGUUGAAAUUCCUUCCAUGUGUGGAUUUUAUGGCGGCCCACAUCCCACCAAUCUCGUGCAGUUCCAUGAAGUACAUUACGCAGGGUGGCAAGGAGUUCCUCAUCUGUGAGCGGUGUGAGAGCAAGGAAAUCGUCACACCUUUCCAGGUAUUGGAGCGGGUCAGGUGCAUCAUUCAGUCCCCCAAAUGUCGGAAAUUGUAGCUUUACAGGGCUCUUACCCAUGACUCUGUUUUUUACCUCUCCGUGAAUGGUGGAUCCACCUGGUGACCCAAAAUUGACAUCGGCCAUGCCAGGAUGUACGGUGGAUUGCAAUCUGGGGCGUUGUGAAAUGAGCAGGGGCUUUUCCCCUUGUAGACCCUCAGAGGAGGAUUGCCCACUUGCAGGGGUAAUGGUGGUGGUAACUUUGGAUGCUGUCAAUUCCUCAGACAGUGAAUGUAUGGUGUUUCUGCAGUGGGACAGCCCCUCCUGCAGAUGGGCUACUGCACCAGACAUCGGGGUGAGAACGGAGAAAAGAUCCUUCAGCAGUUCCUGCCGGUGGUGACGGUGUUCCUCCACAAUUUCCUGAAGGUGUUGCCUAAUCCCAUCGCCAGGAUAUGUCUCCUUUAAGGCGGAAGUUUCAGGCUGAGGUCCUCCAUGACACUCGUCUGUUUGGACGGCUCUUUGUGGAGCUAAGGGCUGAGCAAGCUCAGAAAAAAAAGUGAGGUCCAUGUCCAACAGAGAAUAUGUUGUAGGAGGUAACUCCUCUGCAGGCAUGCCCUUGGCCAUUUCCAGUGGUGACUCUGCUGAUCCUCCUUCCAUUUUACUCCACCAUGACUCUGAGUCAGCGGCCAUUUUGUUUGGAUUUUUGUACCAGAAAAUAAAAAAGGUUGUAUCUUCA